UACGCAGGGACCAAGCGUUGUUCGGAUUUACUGGGCGUAAAGGGCGCGUAGGCGGCAAUUCAAGUCACUUGUGAAAUCUCCGAGCUUAACUCGGAACGGUCAAGUGAUACUGUCUUGCUAGAGUGCAGAAGGGGCAAUCGGAAUUCUUGGUGUAGCGGUGAAAUGCGUAGAUAUCAAGAGGAACACCUGAGGUGAAGGCGGGUUGCUGGGCUGACACUGACGCUGAGGCGCGAAAGCUAGGGUAGCAAACGGG
rnacentral:rRNA from 1 species